AUGGCCGGUGGUAGCAAAUUCCUCACUCUUGUUCACUCAUCUUCAAGAUCUUCUUUUCUCAAACCCUCUACACCAUUUUUUUACAAAACCAUCAAGAGUUAUGGGCAAGAAAUCAAGGAAAAGGAGAGUCAUUUGAUAAAAGAGAGGGCAUCAUCAACAGCUGAAGAAUUCUUAAGAGUGGCAGAGGAAAGAGCAAAUGAAACACCAAAAGUGAAAAGUCAAAGUGUUGAUAAAGCAUUUGAAGCAGCUGAAGAAGCUACUAAGAGUAACUCAAACACUGAAAAUGUUAAGAAUAAGUACAAGGAUCAUUAA